rnacentral:rRNA from 1 species
GACGAACGCUGGCGGCGUGCUUAACACAUGCAAGUCGAACGGAAAGGCCCUGCUUUUGUGGGGUGCUCGAGUGGCGAACGGGUGAGUAACACGUGAGUAACCUGCCCUUGACUUUGGGAUAACUUCAGGAAACUGGGGCUAAUACCGGAUAGGAGCUCCUACUGCAUGGUGGGGGUUGGAAAGUUUCGGCGGUUGGGGAUGGACUCGCGGCUUAUCAGCUUGUUGGUGGGGUAGUGGCUUACCAAGGCUUUGACGGGUAGCCGGCCUGAGAGGGUGACCGGCCACAUUGGGACUGAGAUACGGCCCAGACUCCUACGGGAGGCAGCAGUGGGGAAUAUUGCACAAUGGGCGGAAGCCUGAUGCAGCAACGCCGCGUGCGGGAUGACGGCCUUCGGGUUGUAAACCGCUUUCGCCUGUGACGAAGCGUGAGUGACGGUAAUGGGUAAGGAAGCACCGGCUAACUACGUG